GGAACAGGCACAGACCAUGUUAAUUUCCACAAAUCAUAGACAAAUGCAAUUUAAUAUAUUCCACAGGACAUAUUAUACACCUUACAGAUUACAUAAAAUUGAUAUUAAUUACUCUCCCAAAUGUUUGAGAUGUAAGGUGAUAGAUGGUGAUCUCCUUCAUAUGAUGUGGAAUUGCCCAGUAAUAGAGGAGUUCUGGAGACGGACUACUGAAAUAAUUUCAAGGGUAAUUGGGAUCCAAGUCGAAAUGGACCCAAAACUAUGGAUUUUAGGUGACAUAGAUUCUAUAAACGUGGAUUACCACAAGAAAUAUUUUAUUUUACUUGCAAGUACUGCAGUUAAAAAAAUGUAUUCUGACACAUUGGAAAUCUGAAAAUUCUCCAACACUGAGAUAUUGGAUUAAUGAGUUAGCAUCCUACUGUACACCUGAGAAGAUAUCGCAUAGUGUAAAAGGGAAAUACGGAACCUUUAAAAAAAUUUGGGGACCAUUUCUUUCAGUAUUACCGUCUUUGGACUUGACAGAAUAUAGAGAUGACGUAAAUUCCUCUGGGUUUACCCUGAAUUGAUCCUCGGUUAGGCCCUUCUGAUCAGAGUUCUUGAAUGUUGUGCUGAUUCUUGUGUAUAGACGGGUGUAAAUAUGGGCUGUUUGGAUACACGAAUGUGAUGAAGUUGAGAGCCAUACAGGGGUAAAGGGGUGGGGGGAUGGUGGGAGGGGUUCACACGAUAUGUUUUUCUUUCUUUUUUUUUCUUUUUUUUUUUUAAAUUUUUGUAAUUACCAAUACUGUUACUAUUAUAAUUAUUAUUUAUUAUUAUUAUUAUUAAUACGCCCGUAUUUUCUGUGUUCGGUCCUCAGAUGGGUGAGGCAAUGUUAGAAAGAUAAAGAUACUAGAGUGUGUUCCUGAGAAUUUUUUUUUUUUUUUUUUUUGGUCAUAAUGACCAGUCAAGCUUUGGCUAGUUGAUGAUACUUUGUCCCAUAACUGUAAACGUCUUUUAUUGUUUGUUUCUGUUUGUUUGUUGUUCAUUUUCAAUUUAAAAAAUGAAAAUAAAAAGUUAAAAAAAAAACAAAAACAAAAAACUCUGGUAUAGCCUCCUCAAACAGUGUCCUCAUGGCAGCCAUGUUAUUGGUCACAUGAUGUCAGUAAAGAUGCUCCAGAAGCAUAAACACAGUCCAGAGGUCCAGCUUAGGUGAAGCGAGCAGCUACAGCCACCUGUGUCACCAUCCACCUGUCAGUCAAAGAGGCCACGCCCCCUAAUAAUGGAAGCUUUAAAAUGAUCUUAGAGACCCAACAGUUUGUGUAUCCGGCUGUAAACAUGUUUAUUUCUGCUUUAAAGUUUUAACAUGGAACUCACUCACUGCUGCCUCUGCUGGACGUCAGAGGAAUUGCAGGGUGGUGAUGAGUGGGCAUGAGUGGGUGGAGCCUCAGAUCCCUGCUCUGAGCUCAGAGUGCUG
ensembl:lncRNA